AUUGAACGCUGGCGGCAGGCCUAACACAUGCAAGUCGGACGGUAGCACAGAGGAGCUUGCUCCUCGGGUGACGAGUGGCGGACGGGUGAGUAAUGUCUGGGGAUCUGCCCGAUAGAGGGGGAUAACCACUGGAAACGGUGGCUAAUACCGCAUAACGUCGCAAGACCAAAGAGGGGGACCUUCGGGCCUCCCACUAUCGGAUGAGCCCAGAUGGGAUUAGCUAGUAGGCGGGGUAAUGGCCCACCUAGGCGACGAUCCCUAGCUGGUCUGAGAGGAUGACCAGCCACACUGGAACUGAGACACGGUCCAGACUCCUACGGGAGGCAGCAGUGGGGAAUAUUGCACAAUGGGCGCAAGCCUGAUGCAGCCAUGCCGCGUGUAUGAAGAAGGCCUUCGGGUUGUAAAGUACUUUCAGCGGGGAGGAAGGCGGUGCGGUUAAUAACCGCGCCGAUUGACGUUACCCGCAGAAGAAGCACCGGCUAACUCCGUGCCAGCCGCCGCAGUAAUAC
rnacentral:rRNA from 1 species